AAGUCGUAACAAGGUUUCCGUAGGUGAACCUGCGGAAGGAUCAUUAAAGAAUAAUUACCACACAUGUUUUUAUAUCAUAAACACCAAACCAUUAAUUACCUCAACUUUUGAAAAAUCAAAA
rnacentral:misc_RNA from 1 species